AAAUCAUUCACUCUCUCUCUCUCUCUUCCCCAUUUUUAUUUUUUCUCAGGCGACCAAUCACUCACUUUGGCGACACUAUGAUGAUGAAGCCAUCAUAAUGGACUGAGUGUCACCUCUAGCAGCAACUACGCUCUCUGGUGAUGAGUGCUAUCGCGCAAUUGGUUUUGGGCUAUGGGAUUGUCGAGGUCGAAGGCAGAUAGAUCUGUGUCGGAGUGGUUGUUGGAGGAUGGCUCUAGCGAUAGGUGAUGUUUGACAGUGGACUGCGGUCGUGGAUCUGGCGGUGAGGUGCGUGGUUGAUGGUGGUUGUGGUGUUAUUUUAUUUUAUUUUAUAAUAGUUGUUGGAUGGUGGCGGUACGAUGUUGGGUUGUGGUGAUGAUGGUGGAUCUAUGGUAGGUUGCCGUUUAGUGGAUUUCUGGUGGUGAUUUUGGUGACGAUGGUUGCGAUGGUGUGCCGUUACAGGUUAUAGGGUAGUGGUGGUGGUGAGGUAGUGUGGGUAGUGACGGUGGUGUUGGUGUUUUUUUUUUGGUUGUUGUAGUGGUGAUCGUUUGUUGUUGGGGAUUAGAGUGGUUUUGGUGUUGGUGAGGCUGGCAAUGGUGGUGGAUUUGGCGAGGGGUGGUUGGCGGUGUUGCAGUGGCGUGGAAAGAGUAUUUGUG
rnacentral:lncRNA from 1 species